UAUGGACUGAACACCUCUGUACUGCAUGAGUGUUAAUGAGGCACAGCUUGGCACACUUGCAAAGCAAAUGUGGAAGACGUCUGCGAGCGUGGGAGCGAAAGAGAUGAGACUUGAGGGAGAGAAGAGCCACCAGAAGGAGCCACCACAAUGGAAGGCACUGACAAUGGCACAGACAGAGAGAAGAGGAAAACCUCCAUCUUGGAAAUCGUAGCAGCGUACGAAAGUGAACGGAAUGAAAAAUUGGUGGAUGUUCAGUGCUGUGCAGAUAUCCCACCAUGUUUUAUCCCGCUGCUGUCCACUCAAGUGCUAGCUUCUGGGAUGCAGAUUUACCCACGAGGAGCAAUCAUCCUUUCACCAGCUAUUGCAGGGCCUGGUGACUGUCGGUAUUGCUGCAACUCCGCGGAGCUCGACGCUGGGCAGAGCCGGGGUCUGGAGCCAGUCCUGCCACGGAGCCACGAUGAUCUCACUAGGCAGGAGAGAAGAGAGAGGUAAGGUGGGAAGCAAGGGUAAAGUGACACGUCCAGAUGCUGGCUGUGGUUUCUAAACUUUUCAAAUUGCCACCCUGCCACUGCAGCCUUUUUCUGACAAGGCCAUAAAGGAAACCUGUUAGCUGGUGGUUGCGUGACUGUUUAGCUUCUGAACUCUCUCCCCGUGUUGUGUGUUACUUGGAAGGGUAGCGGAGGCUGGAGUAAGAAGUUCUGUCUGUCAGCAUCUGCACUAGAGAGGUGUCUACCCACCUUGUUAGUGGGGAGAUCAAGCCCAAUUGCAAGACAGCGGUCUGCGAUACUUUACCUCUUUGCGAUACUAUGAAGCCACGAGCAGCGUAUGUGCGACUUAAAAAUGAGUAAGGGGAUGUUUCACACAGCCUACUUGGCUGGAGGAGGUGGGAUGGCAGAUGUGCUUCUCAGUGCCGGUCUUUUCCAGCUACUGGGUGAUGCUGUGCCCAAGUGGUGCGUUUGGCCCUAUGCAAGUUCGCUUGACAGUUGCUGCGAGGCUGUUCCUCGCGAACGUGCCUUAUUUGAGAGGCUGUGAAGAAGAGCCAUGAGAGGGGCAGGAGCAGCCUCCUAAGCUGCGCUCCUGCUCCUCUGCUCCCUGCCACCGUACACGAGUGUUGCCUUUUGCUGCACAGCCCCUAUUGCUCUGAGUGGCAUCCAUGUUGAUGCUGCACCGCCAGCUGCUCCAAGCCAGAAAGCUGUCCGUCCCACAGUAGUGAGGUGAAAAUCCAUACUGCCGAGUUAUGCAGCAGAGGUCCUAGAGAGCAGAAAGCGAACC